AUUGAACGCUGGCGGCAUGCUUUACACAUGCAAGUCGAACGGUAACAGGGUGCUUGCACCGCUGACGAGUGGCGCACGGGUGAGUAAUGCGUCGGAACGUGCCGAGUAGUGGCGGAUAACGCAUCGAAAGGUGUGCUAAUACCGCAUACGUACUGAGGUAGAAAGUGGGGGACCUUCGGGCCUCACGCUAUGCGAGCGGCCGACGUCUGAUUAGCUAGUUGGGGAGGUAAAGGCUCACCAAGGCGACGAUCAGUAGCGGGUCAUGAGAGGAUGAUCCGCCACACUGGGACUGAGACACGGCCCAGACUCCUACGGGAGGCAGCAGUGGGGAAUUUUGGACAAUGGGCGCAAGCCUGAUCCAGCCAUGCCGCGUGUCUGAAGAAGGCCUUCGGGUUGUAAAGGACUUUUGUCCGGGAGCAAAUACCCAGUGCUAAUAACACUGGGGGCUGAGAGUACCGGAAGAAUAAGCACCGGCUAACUACGUGCCAGCCGCCGCCGUAACAC
rnacentral:rRNA from 1 species